rnacentral:rRNA from 1 species
CCCGUUGAGUUUCGGGAGCCGCGGUUUUGACGUUUCGCGGGAACCUGCUGCUGUAUUCCCUGUGGUAUGAACUUCACCCGUUUGAGAACCUUCGCCGCAAGGGGCAUCACUGCCACGGCCUGACGCACCUGUCCUGGGCAGAACGCAAAAUUUUUUACCGGGUUUUGGGUAAAAAAUUUUGUGGGCUGUUCAUUUACCCUGGACAGUCAGUGCGGCAGGUUGUGGCUGUAUCAGCCCCCGGCGACAGGGACUCAUACGGGUGUGUGGCACCCGGCAGGCAAUGAGCAGGGGCCCGCUGCAACGACGAAGAGCGCGUGCGCGAAACGGCGUUGCGCCUUACAUCCC